rnacentral:tRNA from 1 species
GGUUGUAGCUCAGUGGUAGAACACUUGCCUAGCAUGCAUGAGGCACUGGGUUCCAUCGCCAGCACCA